UACGUAGGGUGCAAGCGUUGUCCGGAAUUAUUGGGCGUAAAGAGCUCGUAGGCGGUCUGUCGCGUCGGCUGUGAAAUCCCGGAGCUCAACUCCGGGUCUGCAGUCGAUACGGGCAAACUGGAGUACUGCAGGGGAGACUGGAAUUCCUGGUGUAGCGGUGAAAUGCGCAGAUAUCAGGAGGAACACCGGUGGCGAAGGCGGGUCUCUGGGCAGUAACUGACGCUGAGGUGCGAAAGCGUGGGGAGCAAACAGG
rnacentral:rRNA from 1 species